GGCACUUUGGCGGAGUGGUUAACGCGAUGGCCUGCUAUUCGUAUGAACAGUAAUGAUAGCCAUUUCCUUCGGGAGCGAGUGUUCGAAUCACUCAGGUGUCG